GACGAACGCUGGCGGCGUGCUUAACACAUGCAAGUCGAACGGUGAAGCUCCAGCUUGCUGGAGUGGAUCAGUGGCGAACGGGUGAGUAACACGUGAGCAACCUGCCCCUGACUCUGGAAUAAGCGCUGGAAACGGCGUCUAAUACUGGAUACGAGAAGGGUCCGCAUGGGCACUUUCUGGAAAGUUUUUCGGUUGGGGAUGGGCUCGCGGCCUAUCAGCUUGUUGGUGAGGUAAUGGCUCACCAAGGCGACGACGGGUAGCCGGCCUGAGAGGGCGACCGGCCACACUGGGACUGAGACACGGCCCAGACUCCUACGGGAGGCAGCAGUGGGGAAUAUUGCACAAUGGGCGAAAGCCUGAUGCAGCGACGCCGCGUGAGGGAUGACGGCCUUCGGGUUGUAAACCUCUUUCAGCAGGGAAGAAGCGAAAGUGACGGUACCUGCAGAAGAAGCACCGGCUAACUACAUG
rnacentral:rRNA from 1 species